rnacentral:rRNA from 1 species
GAUGAACGUUGGCGGCGUGCCUAAUACAUGCAAGUCGAACGGAGAUUGUAGCAAUACGGUCUCAGUGGCGAACGGGUGAGUAACGCGUUGGUGACCUGCCCCGAAGUGUGGAAUAACAGAUCGAAAGAGCUGCUAAUACCGCAUAAUAUCCAGAGGACUAGAUGCCUUUGGAUUAAAGGAUUUAUUCGCUUCGGGAGGGGCCUGCGUCCCAUCAGCUAGUUGGUAAGGUAAUGGCUUACCAAGGCUAUGACGGGUAGGGGACCUGAGAGGGUGGCCCCCCACAAUGGAACUGAAACACGGUCCAUACACCUACGGGUGGCAGCAGUAGGGAAUAUUAGUAAUGGGCGAAAGCCUGAACUAGCAACGCCGCGUGUGCGAAGAAGGCCUCGGUUGUAAGCACUUUUGUAGAGGAUGAGGAAGGACGGUACGUCUCAGAAUAAGUCUCGGCUACUACGUGCCAGCAGCCGCGGUAAAACCGUAGCGUG